rnacentral:tRNA from 1 species
GCCGUUGUGGCUUAGGGGUAUAGCGGCUGAUUCGUAAUCAGCAGGUCGAGGGUUCAAAUCCCUCCGACGGCUUCA